rnacentral:rRNA from 1 species
UACGGGGGGGGCAAGCGUUGUUCGGAAUUACUGGGCGUAAAGCGCGCGUAGGCGGCUCGAUCAGUCUGCUGUGAAAGUCAAAGGCUCAACCUUUGAAUGCCGGUGGAUACUGUCGAGCUAGAGUCCGGAAGAGGCGGGUGGAAUUCCUGGUGUAGCGGUGGAAUGCGCAGAUAUCAGGAGGAACACCAACGGCGAAGGCAGCCCGCUGGGACGGUACUGACGCUAAGGCGCGAAAGCGUGGGGAGCGAACAGG